GCUGCAGCCCAAGAAACCUGGCAAAAGGAUUCUGACAAGGGAAGUGCCCAAGAAACCGUGUCUCCUGAUAGCAUUUCUCUUUGAUCGGAACAACCAGGAGCCUGAGAGAAGGGUGCCUCCCCCUGAUUUUACGUGCAUUCCUCAAGGUGAGCUGGAUAGAAAGCAGCUGAUCAGAGGUUGGAGGACUUCAUGCAGCUGACAUUCAUUUGGAGCUGGACAAGGAGGCUUCAUUCUCACAAAACACUGACGUAUAUACAAAGAAGAGUCUCAUACCUACCAUUUUGAGAAGAGAAAGAAAGGCAGUAAGCUUAAACUGAAAUCUUCCUUACUUAGUUUCCAUGCAGAAAUGAAGUACAUGCUGGACAACACUUCAUAACAACAUUUUCUCUGACAAAUCUUAGAGUGAGAAGAACAUCUUUGUCAACCUUGGUACAACUGAGAUCCUCAGGAAACUCAGUUCUGAGAAAACAGGAGGUCUCCAAACUGCAGAUGACCAGAAUUGUCUAGAGUGAGCAGAAAACCUCCACUGGAUGGAGAGGAGCCUGAGGGCAUUCUGCCUGGGUAGGUGUAAGUUGUGAAGGUGGACCCUGGAUGGAGAUUUAGGGUAGAUGUUAGGUGGAAAUUGUUUACUCGGGGCAGUGAGGCGCUGGCACAGCUGCCCAGAG